rnacentral:rRNA from 1 species
CCUACGGGAGGCAGCAGUGGGGAAUAUUGCACAAUGGGGGAAACCCUGAUGCAGCGACGCCGCGUGAGUGAAGAAGGAUCUCGGUACGUAAAGCUCUAUCAGCAGGGAAGAGAAGGACGGUAACUGACCAAGAAGCCCCGGCGAACUACGUGCCAGCAGCCGCGGGAAUACGUAGGGGGCAAGCGUUAUCCGGAUUUACGGGGUGUAAAGGGAGCGUAGACGGCAGCACAAGUCUGGAGUGAAAUCCCGGGGCUUAACCCCGGAACUGCUUUGGAAACUGUGCGGCUGGAGUGCAGGAGGGUUCAGCGGACUUCCUAGUGUAGCGGUGACAUGCGUAGAUAUUAGGAGGAACCCCGGUGGCGAAGGCGGCUUACUGGACUGUACCUGACGUUGCGGCUCGAAAGCGUGGGGAGCAAACAGGAUUAGAUACCCUAGUAGUC